rfam:Sus scrofa isolate TJ Tabasco breed Duroc chromosome 12, whole genome shotgun sequence.
UCCCUGGUGGCCUAGUGGUUAAGAACUCAGCAUUGUCACUACUGUGGCUCAGGUUCAAUCCCUGGCCUGGGAA